AACAACUGCGUAUCCAGCAAUUUUGGGGGAGCCAGUGGUCCCAGAAGAGGAGCCAUCUAUGAAUAGCUGGUCAUCAGGGUUGGUGAGAGUCUCAGAGGAAAUGUUUGGGAAAUGUGGCUGCAGGUGGUCUAGGAUUUCAGUGCAAGAAUGAGUAGGAGGGGAAGAGGAUACAGGGAGUAAGGUAUUCCCAGGAAGGAUGCUGGGUUGAGGGCAGCACUCUUGGCAAGGCUGAAUUCAGGAUUUUUGAUAAAGAGAGCAUGGAGUGAUUGAAUCCGGGAAGGAGGAAGGGAGCUUAAUGCUCGGGAGGUGAGGAGAUCUUGUAGAUUAUGAGGAUUGUGGAUGGUGGUGUUUUGUCCGAAUGUUAGUUUCCUGCUUUCUAGAGCUAGAAUGGCUGCUGCUGCUAAAGCCCUAAGACAAGCAGGCCACCCUUUGAUUGUGUUAUGGAGUUGUUUAGAGAGGUCGGCUACAGGGGCAAAGGAAGGAGGAUUUCUCUUCUGUUGCCCUAGUACACUGAGGGUUGUUCCUUGGUUCUCGGCAGUAUAGACAGUGAAAGGUUGGGUGAUAUCAGGUAAGGACAGAGCCGGUGCAGUGAGAAGAGUGGUUUGGAGUUUGUGGAAAUUGGGGAGUAUGUUAUAUGAGGGGUUUAGGAGUUCAUCGAGGGGGACUUUGGCUGCUUCAUAGAGGGGGUGAGCCAGAAGGGCAAAGUUGGGAAUCUAUAUUCUAAAAAAGCCUGCCAGCCCUAGAAAGGAAAGGACUUCAUCUUUGGAGGAAGGCGGGGGCAGAUUGUUUAUGAGUGCUGCUCAGGCUGGGUCAUAGCCUGGGCCCCAGGAGAAAGUUGAACUCCUGAGCAAGUCACUUUGGGGAUGGAGAGCUGAGCCCUGGAAGGGGAAACUCUAUACCCUUUGGCAGCGAGAAAGUUUAAAAGAGUGACUGUGUGAGUUUGAGAGUCUUUUAGAGAAGGGCUGCAAAGGAGAAGGUCAUCCACAUACUGAAGGAGAAGGCUAGGAGAGAGGUCUAAGGAGGUGAGGUCCUGGGUGAAAGCUUGUCCGAAGAAAUGAGGGCUAUCCCUGAAGCCUUGAGGGAGGACAGUCCAUGUGAGUUGUUGUGACUGGAGGAUGUCAGAGUCAGUCCAGGUGAAAGCAAAGAGGUCUUGGGAAUCCACGUAUAAAGGAAUGGUGAAGAAGGUAUCCUUGGCUGGGUGUAGUGGCUCACACCUGUAAUCCCAGCACUUUGGGAGGCCGAGUCAUGUGGAUCAUGAGGUCAGGAGUUCAAGACCAGCCUGGCCAGGAUGGUGAAAACCCAUCUCUACUAAAAAUACAAAAUUUAGCCAGAUGCUGUGGUGGGCACCUGUAGUCCCAGCUACUCAGGAGGCUGAAGCAGGAGAAUCACUUGAACCCAGGAGGCAGAGGUUGCAGUGAACUGAGAUCACACCACUGUACUCCAGCCUGGCGAAAGAGCAAGGCAUCCUUUGGGUCAAUAGCAGUGUAAUGGGUAGUGUCAGAGGGAUGAGAGAGAGAAGCGUAUAUGGGUUGGGGUCUAUGGGAUGAAUAGGGAGGACAGCUUGAUUGACGGCUCAGAAUUCCUGGACAAGUCAGUAUGAGCCAUCUGAUUUUUUAACGGAGAAUGGGGGUGUUAUAUGGGGAAUGUGUUGGUCUAAGAAGACCACAUGCAUGGAGCUUGUUUAUGAUGGGCUGUAGGCCUCUUUGGUGAGUCAGAGAAAUAGGGUACUGGGGGACAUUGGGAAAUUUGGAAGGGUCUUUGAGCCAAAUUUUGAUGGGGUCAUGGUGAGUGGCUAAUGAAGGGGUGGUGGUGUCAUACAUAAUUGGAUCAACAAGGGAGGCGGGAAGUGGGUACUGGGGAGAGGGGUCAGGGGCUGAAGUAGCAGCGAGAAGCAGGAGAGACUGCGGUGGAGGGAGACUGGAGAAAGUGAUAGACGCUUUGAAUUUGACUAAAAGAUCUCAUCCUAAAAUAGGGAUUGGGCAGCAAGGCAUGAUAAGGAAAGAGUGUGAGAAGACAGUUUCAAACAGGAAACAGGUGAGAGGCCUGGUGACACGUGGACGAGAAAUAAGUCCAUCAACCCCUACAACUGAGACCUGGAAGGGAUGAGUGGGUCCUGAAAAUUCAGGCAAAGCCAAGUAGGUGGCCCCGGUAUCAAUUAAAAAAGAGAUUGGCUUACCUGCCACUAGUAGAGUUACCCUGGGCUCUGAUGCAGUGAUGGCAGAUGGGGCCGGGGGCCCUGGGCCUUGUCAAUCUUUAGUGGCCAGGCCAAGGAGCUGCAAGAGUGCAAGCGGCUCUUCGCCCUUUGUGUUGCUGAAGAGGUGGAGGUCUGGAGGGACAGGUUUGUCUGACUGUUGAGGGGACAAUCAGAUUUCCAGUGACCUAUCUGUUGACAAACCGGGCAAGGGCUCUUUGGUACUCGUGAAUUAGGACAUGCCCCCGCCCAGUGGCCUUCCUUGCCGCACUUGAAACAAGGCCUGCGAGGGAUGCUGCUAUCAGAUCUUUUGUGCCCUUCGGUACUAUGCCUAGGCUGACAGAUAGCCGCUGCUAGAAGCUGGUAUUUAGCACAAUCUCUUUGGGCUUUAUUUAAUUUAUUUUGCUCAACCCUGUUAUAAAGACUUUGAAAGCCAGGUUAAGGAGGUCUUGCUGUGGGGUUUGAGGGCUAUCCUCAACCUUUUUAAGUUUGCACCAAAUGUCUGGGGCUGAUUAGGAAAUAAAAUGAGUAUUGAGGACAAUAGUCAUUUUACAGGAGGUAGGAUCAACACGGGUAUAUUUUUGGAGAACCUCUGUAAGGUGGGAAAGAAACUCAGCAGGGUUUUCAUCUGCUCUUUGGGAAAUUUCUUUGAGUUUUUUUAAAGUUUACAGCUUUGUGAGCAGCUUUGUUAAGGCCUACAAUGAGGCAAGUAACCAUAUGGUUUCAGGACGCUUGGCUGGGGUCUGUGGGUUGCUAUUCCCAGGAAGGCUCUUCCUGGGGGACUGCUGCAGCCCCUACUGGCUUAGUAGGAUCUUCCUGAUGGAGGUCAUUGGCAUGUGCCUGGGCCGAGAGCCACACUCUUUCCUUCUCUUCCAGAAAGAGGGUAGAGGAGAGAAUAAUAUAGAGAUCAUGCUAAGUAAGUUUAUAAGACUGGUUGAGAUAUUUAAAUUCUUUGAUGUAAGUAUUGGGAUCAGAGGAGAAGGACCCAAGAUGCUUUUUGAUUUGGGAAAGAUCAGUAAGAGAGAAACGAACGUGGACGUGGACAAUUCCUUCAGCUCUUGCGACCUCUCGGAGCGGGAGUAAGGAAGGGCAUGCUGGGUCCGGGAGCAGGUAAGAAGUGGAGACAGAGAGGACUUACAGUCUGAAGCCAGGUGGUUUGAGAGAGGAGGAGAAGGGGACAGAGCUGGAGCAGGGGCAUACGGUGGAGGGUCGGGGUGAUGGGGAGGAGGAUUAGGGCGCGGUUGGGGAAUGGAAAAGUCAGCAGGGUCAAAAAAAGAGGAGUCGUCAGUUGGAGCUGAUGGGAGGGAAGCAGAAGACGAGUCAGGCUUGGAGCAGGCAAGGAGGAUUUGGAAGGUUGAACAGGACUGGCAAAGAGAAGGGUGGCAACAGAGGGUGAAAAAAUCCUGGACAUAAGGAAUCUCAGACCAGUUUCCAUUGCGAUGGCAAAAGUUAUCUAAGUCCCUGAGUACACUGAAAUCGAAAGUGCCGUUUUCGGGCCAUUGGGAACCAUUGUCUAAUUUAUAUUGAGGCUAUGUAGUGUUACAGUAAAAGAUAAGCCUCUUAGGACGGACCUCUGAACAGAGGCGGAGAGCAUUGAGAUUGCACAGGAGACACCCGAAGGGGGUACUCUUGGAAAGGGUAGACUGAGAGGCUCCCAUGGUGAAGGGAAGGAGAGGGUAGAGGAAGAAGAGACUGCCGAUGACAAGAACGGCAGGAGAAGGCAUCCCCUGUCCUGCCGAUUGUGCCAGGAGAAGGGAGGUAACCCCCAAAUCAGGCAUCCCCGAGAUGGAGGAACUAAAGGCCUGGAGGCUGGAGGAAGCCCUUGACCCAGUGCUGGGUCUUUCGGGCAAGAAAGAGUUGGUCAAGGAUUCCAGUGCCGCCGGGUUAGAGUCUCCACGACUGAGCUGGUCUCGGCAAGCGGUGCCCAACAUGGGGGCUCACAUCCGGGUCAAAGGGUCGCCGGAGCGACAGUUGGAGAACGUGAAACUAAGCUGGAGGACACCCGAGUACUCUUAAGCAAUCCCCGUGAACCAGGAGAGCGUAUAGCACAGCUCCUGAUUGUGCCGUGAGAGCGGACAGGGCGAUGGCAGGUUCGCCGGGUGUGAGGCUUCACAGCGGUCCAGGGACCAAGUCGAGAUGGUGAGAACAAGACCAAGAUUGGAAAGCCAACUUCAGAGGAGGGAAUUACAGCAAAAACUGAACCAUUGACAGAAGAGUCUAGCAGUCUCAGAGAGAAUGUUCUCCAGGAUUCUGAAGGCAGAGAAUUCUGUGAAUUUGGGGAUAAAUUAAGUGAAAAAGAUCAGAAUGCCUUUAAAAGGAGUCCUCAAAACUGUGACAAAUAUGGGCAAAGCUUUGUUUGGAGUACAAGCCUUUUUAGGCAUCGAAGAACCCAUGGUGAGAAAGCUUAUGAAUGUGGUAAGUGUGGAAAGGCCUUCAGUGUGAGCUCAGCCCUGGUUCUGCAUCAGAGAAACCAUGCUCAUUUUUAGAAGUCUCUUCUUAUUGCUCAUUUUUAAACUCAUUUUUUAAAAUUUUUGGCUGGGCACAGUGGCUCACACCUGUAAUCCCAGCACUUUGGGAGGCCAAGGCAGAAGGAUUGCCUGAGCUCGGGAGUUGAAGACCAGCCUGGGCAAAAUAGCAAGACCCCAUCUCUAUUAAAGAUAGAAAUCGCCGGGCGUGGUGGCUCACGCCUGUAAUCCCAGCACUUUGGGAGGCAGAGGCAGGCGGAUCACGAGGUCAGGAGAUCGAGACCAGCCUGGCUAACACAGUAAAACCCCAUCUCUACUAAAAAUACAAAAAAUUAGCCGGGCGUGGUGGCGGGCGCCUGUAGUCCCAGCUACUCGGGAGGCUGAGGCAGGAGAAAGGCGUGAACCCCGGGAGGCGGAGCUUGCAGUGAGCCGAGAUUGUGCCACUGCACUCCAGCCUGGGUGACAGAGCAAGACUCCGUCUCAAAAAAAAAAAAAAAUAGAAAUCAAGGCCGGGCACAGUGGCUCAUGCCAGUAAUCCUAGCACUUUGGGAGGCCGAGGCUCAUGGAUCACUUGAGGUCAGGAGUUUGAGACCAGCCUGGCCAACAUGUUAAAACCCUGUCUCUACUAAAAAUACAAAAAUUAGCCAGGCCUGGUGGUUGGCAUCUGUAAUCCCAGCUACUCAGGAGGCUGAGACAGGAGAAUCGCUUGAAUCCAGGAGGUGGAAGUUGCAGUGAGCUGAGAUCACGCCAUUGCACUCCAGCCUGGGCAACAGAGCAAGACUCCAUCUCAAAAAAAAAAAAAAAAGAAAUCAAAAAGCAGCACCCCCCCCAAAAAAAAUCCAUGAGUAGUUAUUUAAUAAUCUGUAUCUGAUUUCUCCAAAAUCCUAAAGAGGCGUAAGUCUGUUGUUCACAGUUUCUCAUUCAUCAUGGCUGGCUUCCUUGUGUGUUUGGAAAUUGUGUAUCAUGAGUCUGUGCUUUGUUGAACUUAAUAAGUGUAAUCUCAAGGGCUAAACUGGGGAUGUUUUCCUCCAGACAGGAGUGACUGGUGAGACAGUCAGCUACAAAAUGGAAAAAAACAAAUAUGAUAAAAUGCCAAGGGGCCUAACACCACGGAAGCAAUAAGGGCUACAGGAAAUGAAAAGAGAGAUAUCUGAGGUGGUAUUAAAGGUAGUGAAAGAGAUGGGUCGGUAUGUGAUGAAGAUCCUUUUCUUUAGAAAAGAAUUCUUCUCACAGUCACGUGGUCACAGGAUUGUUAUUUUAGAAUCCCUUCCAACAUGUCUGGACCACAUUAGCCAGGAAAAAGAACUUUAACAUAGAGGACACAAACACACGGUGUGCAGUAGCGCCAGAAUCUUUGUAUAGGAGGCUCAGAGGAGCAGCAAGAUCGAAACAGACACCCAGGGCCGGGCGCAGUGGCUCAUGCCUGUAAUCCCAAGCACUUUAGGAGGCUGAGGUGGGUGGAUCACUUGAGGUCAGGAGUUUGAGACCAGCCUGGCCAACAUGGUGAAACGCUGUUUCUACUAAAAAUACAAAAAUUAGCUGGGGGUGGUGGCGGGUGCCUGUAAUCCCAGCUACUCGAGAGGCUGAGGUGGGAGAAUCACUUGAACCCAGGAGGUGAAGGUUGCAGUGAGCCUGGAUCGUGGCACUGCACUCCAGCCUGGGCAACAGAACAAGACUCCGUCUCAAAAGAAGCAAGAAAGAAAAAGAAAGAAAGAAAGAAAGAGAGAGAGACAGAGAAAGAGAAAGACCCAGAACGCUUGCCUUACAACUCUAUGCUUAAUAAUCUGUAUCUGGCCAGGCGGGAUGGCUCAUGCCUGCAACCCCAGCACUUUGGAAGGCCAAGGCAGGUGGAUCAUCUGAGGUCAGGGGUUCGAGACCAGCCUGGCUAACAUGGCAAAACCCCAUCGCAACUAAAAAUACAAAAAUUAGCCGGGCAUGGUGUUGCACGCCUGUAAUCCCAGCUACUUGGGAGGCUGAGGCAGAAGAAUCGCAGAGGUUUCAGUGAGCCAAGAUCAUGCCACUGCACUCCAGCCUGGGCAACAGAGAGAGACUCCAUCUCAAAAAAUAAUUAAUUAAUUAAUUAAUUAAUAAAAUAAUAUGUAUCUGAUCACUCCAAAAACCUGA